GAUGAACGCUGGCGGCGUGCCUAAUACAUGCAAGUCGAGCGAACAGAUGAGGAGCUUGCUCCUCUGACGUUAGCGGCGGACGGGUGAGUAACACGUGGAUAACCUACCUAUAAGACUGGGAUAACUUCGGGAAACCGGAGCUAAUACCGGAUAAUAUAUUGAACCGCAUGGUUCAAUAGUGAAAGACGGUUUUGCUGUCACUUAUAGAUGGAUCCGCGCCGCAUUAGCUAGUUGGGAAGGUAACGGCUUACCAAGGCAACGAUGCGUAGCCGACCGGAGAGGGGGAUCGGCCACCUGGGAACGGAGACGCGGUCAAGACUCCUACGGGAGGCAGCAGUAGGGAAUCUGCCGCAAUGGGCGAAAGCCUGACGGAGCAAGGCCGCGUGAGUGAUGAAGGUCUUCGGAUCGUAAAGCUCUGUUAUUAGGGAAGAACAAAUGUGUAAGUAACUAUGCACGUCUUGACGGUACCUAAUCAGAAAGCCACGGCUAACUACGUG
rnacentral:rRNA from 1 species